AUCUGCCUGGAAACUCUGUUGCCUGGAGACCACUCUUGAAGAACAUCCACUGCUGUGGCCUCUUAAAGAUUUAAGACAUCUAAUGAAGAGCUGACAGAAAUCAUCAAUUUGCUCCUCAGCCUCCCUCUUCCCUGAAACACAAAAAUAUUGAAAUUAGGCCAAUUAAUAACUCUACAAUGGCCUCUAAGAGUUAAAAUGAAAGGAAGUGUAAAAUGUUUCUCACUUGAAAUCGAAAGCUAGAAAUGAUUAAGCUUCAUGAGGAUGGCAAGUUGAAAGCUGAGACAGCCAAAAGCCGACUCCUGCACCAGGGAGCCAAGUUGUGCAAGCAAAGGAAAAGUUGUUGAAGGAAAUUGAAAGUGCUGCUCCAGUGAACACACGAAUGAUAAGAAAGCAAAAGUGAUCUGGAUAGCAGAUCAAACCAGCCACAACAUGCCCUUAAGCCAAAGCUUAACCCAGAGCAAGGCUUCAACUCUCUUCAAGUUUGUGAAGGCUGAGAGAGGUAAGGAAAGUGCAGAAGGAAAGUUAAAUGCCAGAAGAGUCGGUUCAUGAGGUUUAAGGAAAAAGCCAUCUCCACAAAUAAACAUACAACGCGAAGCAGCAAAUGCUGAUGUAGAAGCUGUGGCAAGUUUUCCAGAAGAGCUAGCUCAGAUCAUUGAUAAACGUGGCUACAUUAAACAACAUAUUUUCAGUGUGGAUGAAACAGAGUUCUAUUGGAAGAAGACACCAUCUAGGACUUUCAAAGCUACAGGGAAAAGUCAAUGUCUGGCUUCAAAGCUUCAAAGAACAGGGUGACUCUCUUGUCAGACACUAAUACAGCUGCUGACUUGAAGCCAGUGCUCACUGCACAUUCUGAAAACUUAAGGAUCCUUAAGAACUGUGCUAAAUCUACUCUGCCUAUGUGCAACAAAGCCCUUAUGGCAGCAUGUCUGUUUACAAUAUUAUUUACUGAAUAUUUGAAGCCUACUAUUGAGAACUACUGCUCAGGAAAAAAGAUACUUUUCAAAAUAUUACUGCUCUUUGACAAUGGACCUGGUCACCCAAGAGCUCUGAUGGAGGUGUGCAAGGAGAUUAAUGCUGUGUUCAUGUCUGCUAACACAACAUCCGUUCUGUACUCCAUGGAUCACAGAAUAAUUUUGACUUUCAAGUCUUAUUAUUUGAGAAAUAAAUUUUGUAAAGCUAUAGCUGCCACACAUAGUUAUUCCUGUGAUGGAGCCGGGCAAAGUAAAUUGAAAACCUAGAAAAGAUUCACCAUUCUAGAUGUCACUAAGAACAUUUGUGAAUCAUGGGAGGAGGUUAAACUAUCAACAUUAAUAGAAGUUUGAAAGAAAUUUAUUCCAGCCCUCAUGGAUGACUUCGAUGGGUUCAAGACUUUGGUAGUGGAAGUAACUGCAGGUAUAGUGAUAAUAUCAAGGGAACUAGAACUAAAAGUGGAGCCUGAAGAUGUGACAGAAUUGCUUCAGUCUCAUGAUAAAACUUGAACAGAUCAGGAGUUAAUUCUUAUGGAUUUGCAAAAAAGUGGUUUUGUGAGAUGGAAUCUAUUCCUGGUGAAAAUGCUGUGAACACCGUGGAAAUGACAACAAAGGAAGGAUUUAGAAUAUUACAUAAACUUAGUUGAUAAAGCAGCAGUUGGGUUUAGAAGGAUUGACUCCAAUUUUGAAAGAAGUUCUACAGUGGGUCAAAUGCUACCAAAGAGCAUUGCAUGCUAUAGAGAAAUCUUUCAUGAAAGGAGGAGUCAACUGAUGUAGCAGACUUCACUGUUGUCUUAUUUUUAAAAAUUUCCACAGCCACCCCAAUUUUCAGCAACCACCACCUUGAUCAGUCAGCAGCCAUUAGCAUCAAAGCAAGACCCUCUUCCAGCAAAAAAUUACAACAACUUGCUGAAGGCUCGGAUGAUUUUUAGCAACAAGCUAUUUUAAAAUUAAGAUUGUCAAACAUGACCCUUGAGGCUUACCUCUGGAUGGUGGUAUGAAGGAAUGAAAGCGAAAAAUAAUUACCUUUGUGAGAUUCAGUAAGUACUUAAGUCCACUUUUAAAAUUUGAAAACAGAAACAAAAUCUAAUGAUUUAGAUACGUGGGAGAAGCUAAUAUAUUGACAAUAAAUGCUUUGUGCAGAG